UACGUAGGGGGCAAGCGUUGUCCGGAAUCAUUGGGCGUAAAGAGCGUGUAGGCGGCCAGGUAGGUCUGCUGUGAAAACUCGAGGCUCAACCUCGAGACGUCGGCGGAAACCAUCUGGCUAGAGUCCGGAAGAGGAGAGUGGAAUUCCUGGUGUAGCGGUGAAAUGCGCAGAUAUCAGGAAGAACACCCGUGGCUAAGGCGGUUCUCUGGGCCGAUAUUGACGCUGAGGAGCGAAAGCGUGGGGAGCGAACAGG
rnacentral:rRNA from 1 species